rfam:Stegodyphus mimosarum contig66332, whole genome shotgun sequence.
GCCUUCUUGGUGUAGUGGUCAGCACGCUGGGUGCAUAUUCCAGAGGUCCGUGGUUCGAGUCUCGGCGAAGGCA